GACGUAGGGUGCGAGCGUUGUCCGGAUUUAUUGGGCGUAAAGAGCUCGUAGGCGGCUCGUCGCGUCAGCUGUGAAAACCCGCAGCUUAACUGUGGGCUUGCAGCUGAUACGGGCGGGCUAGAGUUCGGUAGGGGAGACUGGAAUUCCUGGUGUAGCGGUGAAAUGCGCAGAUAUCAGGAGGAACACCUAUUGCGAAGGCAGCUCGCUGGGACGUAACUGACGCUGAGACGCGAAAGCGUGGGGAGCAAACAGG
rnacentral:rRNA from 1 species